rnacentral:misc_RNA from 1 species
AGUCGUGCAUUACAGCAUUUGGCUGGAGCCCAGCAGCUCGGCCAGCAUACACUACAGCAUACGUACACCAGGGCACCCCCUCGCCUUCGUCAGAGAAGUUUAGCCGUGAGAAAGCCGACACGCCACGCGCAGCAAUGUUCUCCGAAGCCGUUGCAACAGUCUCCUCAGCAGGCGAUGGUGAGACCAAGGCGCCUGCCGCCAAGACCGCGGCUGUUCCGUUUGUGCGCGAAACGCGCAGCAUCAAGAUCCCGCAUCACCGCUUUCCUCCACUCAAAAAGGUGUGGAUGGAGGUGUACACGCCGAUCGUGGAGCAGUGCAAGCUUGAAAUCCGCAUGAACCUCAAGACACGCAGUGUCGACCUCCGCACUUCACCCUCCACAUCUACCGCCGAGGGCGAUCAGAGCGGCAAUGCAAGCAAAGUCAUGCUGCAGAAAGCAGAAGACUUUGUGAAAGCCGUCAUUGCCGGCUUUGACGUGCGCGACGCCGUGGCGCUGCUGCGUAUGGACGACGUGUAUAUUGAGGGUUUCGAAAUCAAGGACGUGCGUGCCAACCUGCAGGGCGACAACUUGUCUCGCUGCAUCGGCCGGAUCAGCGGAUCGCACGGAAAGACAAAGUACACGAUCGAAAACGUUACCCGUACGCGCAUCGUAGUCGCCGACACAAAGAUCUGGAUCAUGGGCACGACACAGAACAUCCGUGUGGCACGGGACGCCAUCUGCGAUCUGAUCCGCGGUAGUCCUGCCGCAAAGGUGUACACACGCAUUCGUGCCGUCAUGAACCGUGUGAACAACGCGUUCUAGUGCUGCAUGUAUGGCUGCGUGGUGCGCCUUUCUGCCUUUGAACAAGAAGCGAGCAAGCGGGAGGUGACCGUGGGGAUGGGGGUGGAUGGGAAUGUAGGGGCUCCCCAGCUGAAGAGGCGGCGUCUGCGCACUCGAAUUCCCCUCCUUCGGCUGAUCCGUCUCUUUUUCCUCGCCUCUGUAUUCUCGGCUUUCAUGAUCCCUCGUCCUCUUCAGCUUCGACAUCUUCGCGUCGUUUUUUUUUUUGUCGUGCGAGCGUACGAGUGGGUACUGCGCUGAUUUAAGUCAUCGUAUAACGCGAUUUGUGUAUGAUAUACGUGCCCCUGCAUGCGUACAGGAGAGCGGAC